rnacentral:rRNA from 1 species
AGAGUUUGAUUAUGGCUCAGGAUGAACGCUAGCUACAGGCUUAACACAUGCAAGUCGAGGGGAAACGAUAUAGAAAGCUUGCUUUCUUAGGCGUCGACCGGCGAAUGGGUGAGUAACGCGUAUCCAACCUGCCCCUGAGUAAGGGAUAGCCCAUCGAAAGAUGGAUUAAUACCUUAUGGUCUCCUUUGCAGACAUCUAAUUAGGAGUAAAGAUUUAUCGCUGAGGGAUGGGGAUGCGUCUGAUUAGCUUGUUGGCGGGGUAACGGCCCACCAAGGCAACGAUCAGUAGGGGUUCUGAGAGGAAGGUCCCCCACAUUGGUACUGAGACACGGACCAAACUCCUACGGGAGGCAGCAGUGAGGAAUAUUGGUCAAUGGACGGAAGUCUGAACCAGCCAAGUAGCCGUGCAGGAUGACUGCCCUAUGGGUUGUAAACUGCUUUUAUACGGGGAUAAAGUCAGGGUCGUGACCCUGUUUGCAGGUACCGUAUGAAUAAGGACCGGCUAAUUCCGUGCCAGCCGCCGC